GAGGUGUUCAUCCUGUAAAUUACCCGUUCAACAGGUAGCCAAUCGAGCGCAAGUGCUGAGCAAUUGGUGGUGCGAAGCCUCGGGCGGCGAACAUGCGAGCCGUAGCGCAAGCGAACCCAUUUCGGCCUCGUUACGCUAAUUGGGAGUGGCCAGUCUGCCAAAGAAGCUGAAGCCUGCCACCGACGAAGAAGCAACGGGCGAGUGCAUUCGUCGGACUUCCCGGGGUGGUAGGGGG
rfam:Betaproteobacteria bacterium RIFCSPLOWO2_12_FTLL_62_58 rifcsplowo2_12_scaffold_5237, whole genome shotgun sequence.